GCUUAUACAUGCAGUCGAGCGCCCCGCAAAGGGAGCGAGCAGACGGGUGAGUAACGCGUGGGAAUCUACCCAUCUCUACGGAACAACUCCGGGAAACUGGAGCUAAUACCGUAUACGUCCUUCGGGAGAAAGAUUUAUCGGAGAUGGAUGAGCCCGCGUUGGAUUAGCUAGUUGGUGGGGUAAUGGCCUACCAAGGCGACGAUCCAUAGCUGGUCUGAGAGGAUGAUCAGCCACAUUGGGACUGAGACACGGCCCAAACUCCUACGGGAGGCAGCAGUGGGGAAUAUUGGACAAUGGGCGCAAGCCUGAUCCAGCCAUGCCGCGUGAGUGAUGAAGGCCCUAGGGUUGUAAAGCUCUUUCAACGGUGAAGAUAAUGACGGUAACCGUAGAAGAAGCCCCGGCUAACUUCGUGCCAGCAGCCGCGGUAAUACGAAGGGGGGCUAGCGUUGUUUCGGAAUUACUGGGGCGUAAAGCGCACGUAGGCGGGAUAUUUAAGUCAGGGGUGAAAUCCCGG
rnacentral:rRNA from 1 species